rnacentral:tRNA from 1 species
GCGGAUGUAGCGCAGUUGGUAGCGCAUCACCUUGCCAAGGUGAGGGUCGCGAGUUCGAGUCUC